GGUAGGAUGUUUAAAGUGGUGCAAUGCUGGCUACAUUACGGCUCAAGUAUACUCUAAUCAAUUGCUAGAUGUACAUAGAGACAUAGGUUAAGUAAAUGGAUGACCUAUUGAGUUGGAGACAUUGAUUAUGUUUGUUCCUCGAAUUUGCCAAAAAAAAAAAAUUGCAAAAAAAUUAAUGUUGUUCGAAUGGAAUUGUUAUAGUAGUUGAAAAGAAAUGGCCGAAUUGAAAAUGGGAGGAGAGGCUUGAUCUGGGCCAAACUGGUGUGUGGUAAAAAGUGAUAAAGUUUUUUUUUUUUUUUUUUUUUUUUUUUUUUUUUUUUGUGAAAGUUAAAAAGUGUUAAAGUUAAACCUACUAGGAAGGAGGUCAAAUCUCUAAUGGGUACGAUAUUCCUUUCGAACGGUUCAGAUUUCAUAUCACGUAGAGUAUUUCCUUUUUCAUCUCGUCCUCCGCACCGUUGGAUCCAUCUUAUCAUUUUUUCUUCUUCUAGAAAUUACGCAAACACACCCGGCUCCGUGUCAGAGCGUGUAGUGUGUGUAGAGAUUUAAAGUAGUAUAUGUAACCCUAAUUGGAUGUGUAAAGAGCACUUCUUGUAUUCCUCUUCAGUGGUGUACGGCGGUAUUUACUGAAUUUUGGCCUCCUGGUUUGAUCCGUUUCAUUUGUUUGUACAGAGAAACAACAGUUGAGAGCAGGAUUUGCAGGGAGUGUUUUUAUGCGGUGUUUGAGGAGGAAAUCCAUAGGGUAAUUGUUGACAACCAGCUAUUCAAGCCUGGGGAACGCGUUGCUAUGGGGGCUUCUGGGUUGUGAUUGCCCAAACACGAGUUAUUUGGAGAUUAUAUUAAAAUUUCCUUCCGUUAAAUUCAACCACAAAGAAGCUUGUUAGCUUAACUUAUAAAUAGUUGAGGUUUGUAGAAUGAAUGUUUGGUUGAUUGUCAUAUAGUACCAAUCUAAUAGAUGUUUUACUUAUCA